AUUGAACGCUGGCGGCAGGCUUAACACAUGCAAGUCGAGCGGAGAGAGGUAGCUUGCUACUGAUCUUAGCGGCGGACGGGUGAGUAAUGCUUAGGAAUCUGCCUAUUAGUGGGGGACAACAUUUCGAAAGGAAUGCUAAUACCGCAUACGUCCUACGGGAGAAAGCAGGGGAUCUUCGGACCUUGCGCUAAUAGAUGAGCCUAAGUCGGAUUAGCUAGUUGGUGGGGUAAAGGCCUACCAAGGCGACGAUCUGUAGCGGGUCUGAGAGGAUGAUCCGCCACCCUGGGACUGAGACACGGCCCAGACUCGUACGGGAGGCAGCAGUGGGGAAUAUUGGACAAUGGGCGCAAGCCUGAUCCAGCCAUGCCGCGUGUGUGAAGAAGGCCUUAUGGUUGUAAAGCACUUUAAGCGAGGAGGAGGCUACUUUAGUUAAUACCUAGAGAUAGUGGACGUUACUCGCAGAAUAAGCACCGGCUAACUUCGUGCCAGCCGCCGCGGUAAGAC
rnacentral:rRNA from 1 species